rnacentral:rRNA from 1 species
UCUGAUUAGCUAGUUGGUAGGGUAAAAGCCUACCAAGGCAUCGAUCAGUAACUGGUCUGAGAGGAUGACCAGUCACACUGGGACUGAGACACGGCCCAGACUCCUACGGGAGGCAGCAGUGGGGAAUUUUCCGCAAUGGGCGAAAGCCUGACGGAGCAAUACCGCGUGAGGGAGGAAGGCUCUUGGGUUGUAAACCUCUUUUCUCAGGGAAGAAGUCUGACGGUACCUGAGGAAUCAGCAUCGGCUAACUCCGUGCCAGCAGCCGCGGUAAUACGGAGGAUGCAAGCGUUAUCCGGAAUGAUUGGGCGUAAAGCGUCCGCAGGUGGCUGCUUCAAGUCUGCUGUCAAAGCUCAGGGCUUAACCCUGAAUCGGCGGUGGAAACUGAACAGCUAGAGUGCGGUAGGGGCAGAGGGAAUUCCCAGUGUAGCGGUGAAAUGCGUAGAGAUUGGGAAGAACACCGGUGGCGAAAGCGCUCUGCUGGACCGCAACUGACACUCAUGGACGAAAGCUAGGGGAGCGAAUGGGAUUAGAUACCCCAGUAGUCCUAGCCGU